CAGUAGCCGCGGGAAUACGAAGGGGGCUAGCGUUGUUCGGAUUUACUGGGCGUAAAGCGCACGUAGGCGGAUCGAUCAGUCAGGGGUGAAAUCCCAGAGCUCAACUCUGGAACUGCCUUUGAUACUGUCGAUCUGGAGUGUGGAAGAGGUGAGUGGAAUUCCGAGUGUAGAGGUGAAAUUCGUAGAUAUUCGGAGGAACACCAGUGGCGAAGGCGGCUCACUGGUCCAUUACUGACGCUGAGGUGCGAAAGCGUGGGGAGCAAACAGGAUUAGAGACCCCUGUAGUCCCUGUCUCUUAUAC
rnacentral:rRNA from 1 species